GAUAUUCCUGUCAUUCCAAAUGGUGAUCCUUUCUCCGGAUCAAGCAGUGGUGGAUCAAGAGGAGCCGUUUGGAGCUGUGGACACUGUACAUUCCAAAACGAAGCAGGAAGACAGGAUUGCUCGAUGUGUGGAUUGCCAGCUGCCGAUUAAAAAUUAUCAUCUCAAAAAGUAUAUUUAUUGAAUGUUAUUAUUCUACUCGGUUUCUGUAAAUUUCUAUUCAUUUUCCCGCUUUUCUACUAGUGUAUUUCUACUGGUAUGCUCUGUAAAGUCACCCACAAAUGAAUUCUUUUCUCCAUAUUUUUCAUGAAGACAAAUUAAGAAUUAAUUCUAAAACAAAAGCAAAGCUUUAGGAGAAUUUGGAAAAAAUAACUUUGUUGCAUCUGGUGAAAAAAAAUAACACUUUAUUUUUUAUUAUAUCAUCGUUUUUUUAAUUAUUCACAACUGGUGGAAUACCAGUAUUAAAUAUCGCAAAUUAUCGAAUCGGAGUUGGACCCGUGGAAUCGAAGAUGGUGAGUAUUUCAAAUCUUUUUCCCUCUUGCAGGCGAUGAAAAGAAGAAAGAAGAUUGUGAUGAAUUGAAGAAGAAAGAAGAAAGAAGAAAUAAUAAAAAAACCCUAAGCUAAGAUAAUCUGUAACUAUAGUGUAGUCAUAUAAUUUGCUACUAUAGUUUAGACUCACCGAAACCUAAUCUAGGUGAUGAACAUUUUGUAUAGACUUUUGUGAAAAGUUGAAACUGUAGUUUUCCCGCUUCUCGUUAUUCAAUUAGGAACUUCCAUACUAAGACUACUAAGUUCAUUCAUCUUCUUGAUUGUGUAAGAUCCGGUAAACUGAGGAGACAAUUUAUCGCGUUUUUCUUUUUGUAGAAGUGCUUAAUUCCCCUUUUGAAAACAGCAUCAUCGAUCUUCUCAGUUUAUUCAUAAGACGAAUUCCUCUUUUCAAUCUAACUCUUGAUUUUCCGCUAAGUUUCUUAUUAGUGACUUCGUAGCUUCUUGAUUUGCUUUCUCUUCAGACCUUUUCCAGAAUGAUAAGAAACCGAGCUAACUCAUUGUUGACAAUUCAGCUUUCCUAAAUUUCCUUUCUAUUCGGAUACAAAAUUAUUUCCUUGAUCGGAGACUGAGGCACUCCAAAAUGAUUGAAGACUCUUUCAUUUUUAGAUUAUUCGAUUUCUUUUUGUUCAGCAAGCAGACAUUUGGAGAAUUUGGUCUGAAAUUAUAGAACUACUUAAAGGGAUAUAAUUUUUUGCAUAAAAACAAUUUGUAUCGAGACCGGAUACCGUAUUUUUGCUGUAAAAGUCGCAGAAUUUCGCGUAUGGGUAAUAUCCACUUUAAUUUGUGACAGAUCCGGUCUGCAGAUUAACAUAUUAGAUUUUUAAUAUUCAACAAAGAGCAAAAUACAUAAAAUACAGAAAACCAAAUCCUCCAAAUACGCGUGGUGUCAGGCUGCCCCAUAUCAGCUUGAUCUACAAAAAAUGCGGGAAUUUUCUCCCAGAAAAAUGUGACGUCAGCACGCUCUUAACCAUGCAAAAUUGGUUGAGAUGUCUGUAUCUCAACUCCCGCAUUUUUCGAAGAUCAAACCAACAUUGGACAUUCUGACACCCAAAUUUGGGCAUUCUGACACCCUUUUUUGAUUAACCGAUACUGUUACUAUUUAGUUAAAAAUCAAUGCCAAUUCUCAGAACUCCCUCGUUGGAUAUGAAAAAUGACUACUUUUGUCAUUUUCAGUGUUUUUCGGUGUCGAAUAUCCUCAAAUCUCAUAUUGCACAGCUUUAUUCAUUUGAAAGAAACAUAAUAAAUAAAAAGGAGAACAAAGUUCAUAAUAAGUUCAUUUAAAGUCCUGAAGUCCGAAAGAGAAGUUGAGUAUCAAAAGAUCAAUGUUCGUGUACAAUGACUUGCUUGAAUAAUUGGCGAUCAAGACAUAGAUUUUUCCAAUUUUUGGCCGCUCCCACCAUUUUAACAGCUUGCCGGACUUUCUGAAAAUUUAUAAUCAGUUAUUGAAUUCAGUUCCAUACAAACCUUUUUAUCCCUUUUACUUCCGUUCAAACUAUGCCCGACGCGUUUCGCGACUGUGUGCAAACGACUGAUGUCGUGACGCUCCGGAUCGGCUGUAAAUAUAAUUAACUUGAGUUUCCAUCUACAUUAAAAAUGAACUAACCUCCACACCAACUUUUCGAAAAGUCAAUCAAUUGCGGGAUAAUGCCAAAUGUUUGAAUCGUAAUUGUUUUGCCAUCAAUGUUGUAUUCGAUCCAUCGUUUGGUUGUUGGAGCAAUUAAAAUAUUCAUCAUAUAGAUGUCACCAUGAACAAAUUUCAUCUUGUCGUUGGCAAUCCUCAUAGCCAGAACCAAUUGAGCCAUAAUUGUGAUACACCGUCUGUAGUCGCUGGUUCUCCAAUCGGCCAAAACUGUUCCACCAUAACCCAUAAAAAUCGCAAGAUGGUUGACACAUUCGGAAUUCCGCAUCAUUUUAGCUGGAAGGUCGCUUAUGACGAUUGAUCCGUGAUAUGGCAGAAAAUUAUGGCAACUUUUUGACAAUUUGCCAAUCUUCUGCGUGAUCAAAAGUUCGUCGUGGAGUACCGAAAUCGACUGUGGGUGAAUACCUGUCACCUUCAUAACAACCUCCUUGUCUUCCCACACCACCAAAUAGGCUGUUCCACUGGCUCCAUACCCUAAGAACUUCUUGAUUUCACUUUUGCACUUUUGCAUCACUCCAAGGCACGAUAGUUUUGGCCUCCGUUUUACGGAUCAGUUUCCGUUUCUUGAAGAAUCCUCCUAAAAAUCGCCGACGUCGGAACCGUUGGAAGCGUGGCAAGGAGUGCGUGGAGAUGGUAUCAUUUUCGUUUCCCACUACAUCACACUUGGGAGGGCAUCCGAUGCCGAAAUUGGGAUCCAAAGCAAAAUCAUCAAUGACAGGUUCUUCCAUAAUCGAUACAGCAGGUGUAGAUUGCGGAUUACGUCGAAUUACCAUCAUGUCAUCAGACAUAUCGUCAUAGUCUCCGUCCAUUUUGGCGUAAACCAAUAAGCACGCUGAAGCCGUCUUACUGGAUCCUGUUCCAAAUGAUUGAGCCGCAACAUCCUCCCAUCGAACAUUGGAUACCCUAUCAUCAUCAAAUUUUGACCACCGACUGCUUUCAUUUUCUGAAAAUUUUUGUGUAAAGCGUUAUUUAAUUUAGAAUGAGUUUCAGUUGAAAACUAUCAAUUUUUGGCAAUAUUAGAUGAAACGUUUUCUAAAAUAUUAUGAAAAUUAGAGGUGGGCGGCAAACGAUUUUUUCCGGCAAAUCGGCAAAUUGCCGGAAUUGAAAUUUCCAACAAAUCGGCAAAUUGCCGGAAUUGAAAUUUCCAGCAAAUCGGCAAAUUGCCGGAAUUGAAAUUUGCGGCAAAUCGGCAAAUUUCCGGAAUUGAAAUUUCCGGCAAAUCGGCAAAAUCUCGGAAUAGAAAAUUCCGGCAAAUCGGCAAAAUCUGGGAAUUGAAAUUUCCGGCAAAUCGGCAAAAUCUGGGAAUUGAAAUUUCCGGCAAAUCGGCAAAUUGCCGGAAUUGAAAUUUCCGGCAAAUCGACAAAUUGCCGGAAUUGAAAUUUCCGGCAAAUCGACAAAUUGCCGGAAUUGAAACGUGCCUUAGUUUACUUACGAAGAACAAAACUGUAGAAGUGGCCUUCUUUAGCUGAGGAACCAACAUGAACGAUGAGUCCAGUCAACUUGUAAUAACAACUUGAAUUGGCAUUUGGUUGGGUUGGAAACUUUUUGGUUCGAAACUUUUGGAAACUUUGGUUGGAAACUUUUUGGUUCGAAACUUUUGGAAACUUUGGUUGGAAACUUUUGGGGAAUUCCAUCCUCUCGUUCGAUUUGGUUCUGUCUUCCAUUGCUCGAUCAAAUUGCACGAACACCAUAUCAACUGAAUUCGACGUGAAAUGCUCAAAAAAAUGUUCCACUGAAGCACGAAAAUUUCCAACUUGAGCAUUCACAGUCACUCCUAACGAGUCAUUGUGUCUGAAUGAAGGGAAGAUGCGAUCGAACAUCUUCUUUUGAUUGAUAUACAACUGUCUUUCCUCUUCACUGUGAUUGUUCUCGUGAUUCACAUGAUAAUCCAUUGCAUCAUCUAUAGCAAUUUCCAACCAUUGACUAAUAGUUGUGAAUAGUUCACAAACAUCUUGCUGGUGGUCGAUGAUUGGAGAGGCGGACAUUUUUUCCAGAACCUGUAAAUAUAGUUGAAUUAUUUAAAAACCACAGAAACUCAGUUUUUGUAGUAGAAAAAACAAUUACUCACCUGUAACAACGCAAUAACCUCAAUUGGUCUUGAAGUUGACCUCGCAGAUUUCAGUUCGCGGAAUGUUCCAACUAUGGUGUAUAGAAGCUCAGCAUGCUUCAGAUUCUUCUUGUUGUAUUGAAGUGCGUAGUUAAGAUAUUCCAUUGAAGUGAAAUUUAGCAACACCGAUUCAAGUUGAGGUACACGGAUCAAUAGUUGCACAAUGCAGGAUAACCAACAUGACGAACUGCUAUUGAAUAUCCCGACAGAAGACUCAGAUUGAGCCAAAGUGUCAGACUCAGGACUCAUCGAUACACUCGGAGACACUAUGACAGCACGUUCGUUCCAUUUAACAUUGAGCAUAUCCAACAAAAAUUGUCUCCGUGUUGGUUGAUGAUUGAACAGGUUCUAAAAAAUAAUAUAGAAAAACGGUCUCUUAAUUUCAAAAAAACUAAAUCAAAUAAUGUGAUAGACUCUCUCAAUUGAAAUAGAUAAAAUUGAGAGAGACCGUGGCUAUUACAUUUGUAAAUUAAUUUUCUUAAACUCUACUUCUAUCUCCAGUGAGCCAUACUCGUGAAUUGAUCGCAUUGAAUUCUUCUCUUCAAUAUCACCUUGUCCAAUAAUUACAUCGUCUCGUGAGCACAUCUUCUAUUAAACAAAAUUAGCACUAGGCUAGUUCUCUUCUAAAGUGAGAAAUGAGAAGAAAUGUGAGUUGUAGAGACGUGUAUAAUAAAAUCCAUAAAAAUUAAAAAUAUUGUGAGUUCUUCUGAGAUUACGUGAAGGCCGAAUAAGAGGUGACGGUGAUAAUCACAAGAAUUUAAAAAUAAUUUUUCCAUAGAACGAAUAUAUAAUUGCGUAAAUGGUCGUGGUUGCUCAGAAUCUCGAGAGACUGUGGCAAAUUGUCGAAGUUUUGGCAUUUUGCCAAAAUUUGGUAAAUUGCCAAAUCAUCGAAAAUGUAUAUUUUCAAAGUGAUUUCGAGCAGUUUUGGAAACUUUUACUAUAAUAUUUGAGCACUUGAGAAACCGAUUUCAACUAUUUCCAUACCGUGGAAAAAUUAUGUUUUAAGUUUUGGCAUUCUGCCAAAGUUUUGACAUUUUGCCAAAAUUUGGUAAAUUGCCAAUUAGUUCAAGGUGUGUACUUUUAAAGUGAUUUUGAACAGUUUUGGAAACUAUUACUGUGAUAUUUUAGCACUUUAGGAACUGAUUUUAACUAUUUCAAUACUGUAUAAUAAUUCUUUCGACAACAUUCUCAUCGGGCCACAUGCGAUCACGGAAGAAUCUGAAAUUAAAAGAUAAAUAGAAAACAAUUUGAGAUUAUUAAAUAUUACCUCUCGGUGAGAUCUGGAAAAGCUUGAUCGUAGAGAGUCAAAAUUUCCGGCACAUUUUGUUCGUCAACCAUGCGGGAAAAGUAGACCAGGUAGUCGGCGACCUCAUUUGGAACUCCAUCCUCAUCGGCUGAAGCUGUUAAAAAUUAAGAAAUGAGAUAAGUUUGUGUUGUUAACAAGCACCUAAAUAACUACCAUAAAUAUGUUUAUAGAAUUACUCUAUUGAUUGAUUAUCAAUUUUUCUUUUGAAAAGAUUUCACAAUGCACGAUCAUUGAUCCUCUGAUACUCAACUUCUCUCUCGGGCUUUUAAAUGAUUAACUUCUUAUGAACUCUUAUGAACACCUUUUCAUUUAUUAUUUCUUUCAAAUGAAUAAAGCUGUGAUUCAUUUAAUCUGAGAUUUGAGGAUAUUCGACACCGAAAAACACUGAAAAUGACAAAAGUAGUCAUUUUCAUAUACAAUGAGGGAGUUCUGAGAAUUGGCAUUGAUUCUUCACUGUAACAGUAUUUGGAAAAUUUGGUUUUUCUGAAUUUUAUGUAUUUUGCUCAUGGAAUGUUAAUCUGCAGUUUUUAUGCAAAAUUAUUUCAGACCAAAUUCUCCAAAUGUCUGUUUGCCGAAUUAAAAUAAAUCGGUUAAUCAAAAAAGGACCGAGUCUUCAGUCUUUUCGAACUGUUUCAAAUUUUAACAUUUUUCAACUCAUUUUACUCUUAUUCAUCAAUUCUGAAAAAUAGCAUUCUGUGAACUUACAAGAAAAGGUGUUGGUGCGACGACGAUCAGAGUGAUCUUCAGUGGAUAAAUCGAAUUCCACGCGUCGAGACAUUACUGAAAGAAGGUUUUUAUAUUGAUAUUAUUUAAAUGUCAAACUAAAUUCGAAAAGGUACGCUAAAAUUAAGAGAAAACAUUUUUUUAAUUGUAAAAUUUGAUGAAAGGAAUUGGAAAAUGUGAUGGAAAAAAGAAAAUUGCAAGCGUUGCAUGGGAUUUCGCAAGAGUGCCGCACGGUUUUUUGUGUACGCAUUUGCUCGUCAUUCAUGUUGUCUAGGCAGUUUUGAUGACAUUUUUUAUUCUAAAAACAAAAUGUUUUAUUUCAUUUGCUGUUUAAUGUUUGAAUAUGUAUGGAAACUAAUUUGAUACCCUUUCCGCUGCAUUAUUUUUGCAAAAUCUCAAAAUUAUAUAUCUUCAAUUCACUACCUAGAAGGCAUAUCUUCCUGCAUUUAAAAAUCUAUUUUAUUUCAGAUAUGGUACUUGAAGUCCCUCAAACUGAGCGUGUCAACGACGUUGAUGUUUUUUUAAGCACGCAAGAUGGUCAAAUUCAGCGUCCAAAAGGGCCCAACUGUCGGCAUCCUGUACGUCAAAAGUGCACUAAUUGUUUGCCUGUUGAUGUAAGUGAUAUUUUCUGUUGUUUUCAUAGAAACUAAUAUCAAUAUUUACAGCCAUUCGAUGAAGAAUAUUUGAAAGAAAAAGAUAUCAAGCAUAUGAGCUUCCAUGCACAUGUUCGCAAGCUCCUUGGAUCCCAGGGGAAGGGCACGACUCUCAAAAAACCGCUGGAAAACUUUCGAUGUUCAUUAAAACCCAACUGUGAUGCUCACAAGCCGUUCCCGAAAGGAAUUUGCACUAAAUGCAAACCACAGGUUGUAACAUUGAAUCGUCAAAAGUUUCGUCAUGUUGAUAACAUUCAAAUUGAAAAUCAAGAGCUUGUAAAUCAGUUUUUGGAUUAUUGGAGACUAUCGGGCCAUCAGCGUGUUGGAUUUUUAAUUGGACAGUAUCAGCCUCACCUUGAAGUUCCACUAGGAAUCAAGGUAAGUUCAGUACUUCAUCACUCAUUUCUUGAGACGAGUUAUUUCAUUGCUCAUACUUUCAGGCUACAGUGGCUGCAAUUUAUGAACCUCCACAACACUGCCGUGAAGAUGGAAUUGAGUUUUUGGAGGAUAAAAAUCAAAAAACUAUUGACAAUUUGCUGGAAAUGCUUGGCUUGCAACGUGUUGGAUGGAUCUUCACAGAUUGUUGGACAGCUAAUAGUGCUGAAGGAACUGUACAUUAUACACGGCACAAGGUGAGAACAAUCUCGAAGAGAAGCCCAAAAAACGAAUAAUUUUUCAGGAUUCCUUCUUCCUAUCAGCUGAGGAAUGCAUCACCGCAGCAAUGCUUCAAAAUCAACAUCCAAACAUCACAGAGUACUCGAUGGAUCGUCACUAUGGAUCCAAAUUUGUGACCGUUGUUGCAUCUGGUGAUGAAUCGAUGCAUGUUAAUUUCCACGGAUAUCAAGUUUCAAAUCAAUGUGCGGCCAUGGUUGAAGCUGAUAUUCUCUGUCCAACACUGUACACUCCUGAAUUGGCUUAUGUUCGAGAGACACCAUUAUCCGAAGAACAUUAUAUAACUGAUGUUCAAUUUUCGAUGAAAAAUGAAUACGGAGCCGAGGUUAUGAAAAACGGACGACCACUUCCAGUUGAAUAUUUGCUGGUGGAUGUUCCUGCUGGAAUGCCAAAAGAGCCUCACUACACGUUCCACGUUGGCACAUCUAAUAAAUCGAAGAGUGCCAAAUUUAAUGUUGAAAAUCGACAAGCAAUUGGACAACUUCAAGGAGGUGCAAAUUUGAUUCAAUAUUCAUCCGAAUUCUCUAAAAAUCAAUUUUUGGAACAGGCUACAAACUUCCACUUUUUGCUCUAUUUAGUAACCAAUGACCAAGUGCAGAUUUCUGAUGAAUGGAUGAAACGAUUGUGUGAUGCAGUUAAAGCUCAGGACAGAGGAACUGCAAUGGAAUGGGCUCAGGAAUGUGAAGAUUGGCAUCAGUUGAUGGCUUUAGCGCAUGCUAAUGGAGGAAGCGGCAAUGACG
rnacentral:sRNA from 1 species